CAGCCGUAAACUAUGCGCGUUAGGUGUACUGGUGACCACGAGUCACCGGGGUGCCGAAGGGAAACCGUGAAACGUGCCGCCUGGGAAGUACGGUCGCAAGGCUGAAACUUAAAGGAAUUGGCGGGGAGCACCACAACGGGUGGAGCCUGCGGUUUAAUUGGACUCAACGCCGGAAAUACUCACCGGAUAGGACAGACAUAUGAUAGUCGGGCUGAAGACUCUACUUGAUGAUCUGAGAGGAGGUGCAUGGCGUCAGUGACU
rnacentral:rRNA from 1 species